AUUGAACGCUGGCGGCAGGCCUAACACAUGCAAGUCGAGCGAGCGGCGGACGGGUGAGAAAUGUAUGGGGACUGCCCGAUACAGGGGGUUAACUACUGGAAACGGUGGCUAAUAACGCAUACCGUCGGUUACCACAUAUGGGAUUAGCUAGUAGGUAAGGUAAUGGCUUACCUAGGCGACGAUCCCUAGCUGGUCUGAGAGGAUGAGCAGCCACACGGGGACUGAGACACGGCCCAGAUUCCUACGGGGGCAGCAGGGGGGAAUAUUGCACAAUGGGCGCAAGCCUGAUGCAGCCAUGCCGCGUGGAGGAAGAAGGCCUUAGGGUUGUAAAGUACGUUCAGUCGGGAGGCGUUACCGACAGAAGAAGCACCGGCUAACUCCGUGCCAGCAGCCGCGGUAAUUC
rnacentral:rRNA from 1 species